ensembl:lncRNA
UCUCCCACCACCAUCUGAUGCUCACUGGUUCUUAUUAUAUGAAAAGUUAUCUCUCCUCUCUAAAUAAUGACAAAGCCUUAUUCUCUUUUCUGUUAACUGUAAAAUACUUAACUUCCAUUUUGUUUCUUUCUGUUUUGCUGUCAGUUUCUGCCUCUCCCGCACAGCUUAGUGCGUGAUUCAUUAUCACAGCCACAGGAACGGGUAUUCCCCUCGAACGAGAUGUAAAAGAGUAGUCUCAGUUUGUUUGACUUAACGACUCUCACAUGAACUCGAGCCGAGUACUUUGUGUUGUUCUCUUUCUGGGGGUUUAUCUAUCAAUUCAGAUCAAUGCUUUUGCAUGAUGUUUGAAUUGAAAGUGUCCUUUAAAACAUUGCUUUAAACUAUUGACAUUGUCUCUGUCUUCAAAUUUUCAGAAUUCGUGUCACUCUGAUAACAACAGAUGAACUGUGUAUCCCUGUAUGUCUCCUUACAUUUCAAAUAUGUUCAUUUGUGCAUAAAUAUGAGUAAGUGAAUAUCAAACAAUCGUGCAGCAUAUUCCAAAAUAUGCAAUAUGACAGUAGGUGGUAACGUAUAUCUUCAUCUCCAUGAUUGAGCCUGUUAAUGACAGCGUCUACAUGAGAAAAUGUGUAGAAACCCUGAUGGUGAGUUCCUUGGUGACUCCAUAAUCAGUUCCUUGUGUUUUUCAACUUCCAGCUACAGAUGUAUAGUGUUUGUACAUGAUAUGCUCUAGAAUAUUCUGUUUAUAAUAUAUUGUAAUCUUGUUACUUUAUAAAAAGAACGGAAAUCAUACACAUCAAGUUUUUCCCAAUGCUUUGUUACACAUUUAUUACGAAAUGUACAUUAUUAUGUAUUUAUUGACCCAUGAUUUAAUUAAUCCUUUCUGUUCUUCCCAAAAGACAUAAAUACGGAAUGUCUAUUGUCAUUAGACAUGGUGUCCUUAUUAAGACAGUUUCCAUAUCAUCCUUUCUGUAGAAAUUGUUCAGUUUUUGUCAUCUGUUAUCCAUGCAGCAAUAUGUAACAAUCUAAAUGAGAGACCAAAGUUGGUGCUUGUUAACCAGGUCAUUAGAAGGUACAACCGACAAUGUGUGAGCCUUGUAAUCACAUUAUAUCAUUUAUCUAUGACAUCAUUAUUCCCGAAUUUUGCACGGGUGGGGUUAACAAGAAAAUGAUUCAAUACGACCAGUUGAAAUUAGAUGAAUUUAAUUGAAUUUGAACCGCCCAAACAACACUAUAAUCAUUAAUAUCAUGGUUUCAGUAAUCUCUACGUCGCAUUUUAUUCUGGUGCCAGGAUGUUUCUGCAAAAACUUAACAUUUAAACUUUGCACUUUAUUUCUAAUCAUAAAAACAUACUGCAAGACUAGAAUUAUACUCAUAUUAAAACCCACACUUAAAGCUGCACCUUUUUUAAUACAAAAAAACAAAAAAAACACAAUUAACACAGCAAGAGGCUGUCAAUCAUGUAGUGGUCAGAAGUGUUCACGCUCUGUGUCCCGCCCCCACAGCAGGGUCCCUGAGGGAGGCCGCCCACCAUGUGAGAAUGUCCUUUAGAUUAGUGUGAGCAAGUCCGUCACUCCCCAGUGAACACCAAGAGUCAGCGACCUCACACUGCCCUGCCCUGUCACAACUACUGUGAUACCAGCUCUGCUCGGGAGUAGUUAAACCACCACAACACAAAACCGAUUACUUUUAAGACGUCUGUAUCUGCUCAAUAUUAAUAUGCAUAUGAAUAAAGUUGUCUUUUAAUGUUAGGCCGUAUUUAUAUUUUGCUUAAAUUAGCUGUUGCUUCACUCCGUGCAUGUAUCCAUUAAUGCAUCUAUGGAAAUGAAAAACACACAGGGUGCCGGGGAGAGCGAGAGUCGAUUAUUAAGAUGUAAUAAAAUGUUGCACGCUCAAAUGUUAUAUCUGUUGCUAUGGCAAUGGGUUUGGAUCCUGCGGGCUGCAGGACUCUUGCUAUUUCUAAAUAAAGCAUUUUUUCUCACUGAUCAGGGGAUGAAGAAGAUACUCAGAGCUGAAACUAAGAACUCAGAAUUUUACCAGGCUGUGUAAACACCAGUGGUCUGCACUUACUGCUAAACCUGCUAAACAGCAGUUACAGAAUUAUACAUAAGAUGAUGUACAAAAGAGGGCAUAUGGUUUGCUGCUGCUACAUUUCUUUAUUCUUGAUUGAAAGUUUUGUAUUCAUUACAGGCUGUGUCCAAUUUCCUAAAUCUCCACAUGUGACUAGAAGGCAAAAUCUUCCCAUUUCCUUCGCACGAUUAUAAACUAAUCACUAAUACUGAAGUGAUUUAUUGAAUUACCGAAAGCAGUCUAAUAUUUUCAACAGUCUAAUGUUUUCAAUUCCGGUUAAAAAAAAAGAUUGUAAUUGCUGAGAGAAAAAUCUGUUUACAUCAUGAUAAGAAGAAGAAACUACAACAUACAGUCAGUUCUAAGUUGGUUAAGUCCACAUCUAAGGUUUCUUCAUCACUGUAUUGUUUCACUUUUUGCAUAAGGAACAAAAGACAUGGGAGAAAAAUGACUAUCCUGCUUGUCUUUUGUCCUUGCAUGCUGUGUAGUAACACAGUACCUUUGUCCCCCUGUGGGGGGAGCCUAUGUGUGGAGAAGAAGAGGACAGAAAUAGGUGCUGAGACCAGAUAUUUGAUGCUUUCAA